rnacentral:rRNA from 1 species
AGUGAACGCUGGCGGUAGGCCUAACACAUGCAAGUCGAACGGCAGCACAGUAAGAGCUUGCUCUUACGGGUGGCGAGUGGCGGACGGGUGAGGAAUACAUCGGAAUCUACUUUUUCGUGGGGGAUAACGCAGGGAAACUUACGCUAAUACCGCAUACGUCCUAAGGGUGAAAGCAGGGGAUCUUCGGACCUUGUGCGAUUGAAUGAGCCGAUGUCGGAUUAGCUAGUUGGCGGGGGAAAGACCCACCAAGGCGACGAUCCGUAGCUGGUCUGAGAGGAUGGUCAGCCACACUGGAACUGAGACACGGUCCAGACACCUACGGGAGGCAGCAGGGGGGAAUAUUGGACGAUGGGCGCAAGCCUGAUCCAGCCAUACCGGGUGGGUGAAGAAGGCCUGCGGGUUUUAAAGCCCUUUUGUUGUGAAAGAAAAGCAGCAGGUUAAUACCCCGCUGUUCUGACGGUACCCAAAGAAUAAGCACCGGCUAACUUCGUG